rnacentral:lncRNA from 1 species
AAGGUCCCUGAGAAAUCAUGAUUUUCGGCAGCAAAAUAACGCGGAGCGACUUGCAGGUGUCGCUCCGGGAAGUCGCUCCAGGGCCGAUUUUUGGUGUCUCCGGGCGAGAGGUCGCGAGCGACUUUGGUGUGUCGCUCCAACGGGUCGCUCUGGAUCGGGAGCGACCUUGGUAGGUCGCUCUGAGAGGUCGCUCCAGGCUUCGCUUCGUGUCGUCUCGCCAUAGAGACGCGAGCGACCUCGGGGCGUCGCUCUGGGCAAGUCGCUCUGGGGGGUUCUUUGGAGCGAGCUCAUGACGUCGCUGCGGAACCUCGCUCCCAUGCUCUGCUCGUCCAAUGAUCACCUAUUUCACGUCCUUUAAGCUCCAAAUGCAUCCAAAUGUCCCCAAGAACUCCAUGUGGCACUCCAACACCUAAUAAGGACAAUGAAUGCAAAAUGCAACCUAGACAUGGCUAAAUCCUAAUCUACAUGAUGAAAAUGCUCAUGGAUGAAUGGAUAAAACAAUGCAAAUAUGCAAGAUAUCAACUCCCCCAAACUUGUUCUUUUACUUGUCCACAAGUGAACUUUCUAGAACUCAUAGGGAGAGAGGUUGAAGGUGGGAGCACAUAGCCAAAAGAAACACAACUAGCACCCUCUCUUAUUACACUCUAGCUUCUCUAGGCCUAUCUUAACUCUUUUUGUUCUUACACUCAUCAUCAAGCAUCCACACAUUCAAAUCAACCAACUCUCACAUUCAUUAAGCACAAAACAUCAGGUGAAUUCUUGCAAAUGGUCAGUUGGUCCAAGUCAUUUGGUUGGAUAAGGAAAUGCUUUUAUUCAAGUGAUUCAAGAGAUUCAAAACAUAUGAUCUUUAAGGUGGUUUACUCUCGAAACAAGUAGCCUUGACAUUGCACAUAAUAUAUCUAAGAAAGGGAUCAACUCAUGCAUACAAUGCUCAAUCUCCAUUGUUCUACCCUUUUCCCAAACGUACAAUUACACAAUCAUUCUCAAAUGUCAAACCCAACUCACAUCUCUCACCAAAAGAUCUUAAGAACUUUAACUCCUUCUCCUUGAAAUCUACAAGGGAUUUUUUUUCAGAACCUCAAAAUAUUUCUUAGCUCCUAACAACUUUGCUAGCCCCCUUUUUUGCUUUCUUUUUCUUUUCUUUUUAUAUUUUAUUUCUUUUCCUUUUUUUUUUUUUUUUUUAGGCUGGGGGCCAAGACUUUUCAAAACUUGAGCUAGAGGCUUCUCUACUUAUCCCAAUAAAACAAUUCACUUAAGCACAAAGAGUCUAUUCUUUUCCUUUUCAUUCCUCCCAAAUCAUAAUCACAACACUCACCCCCCCACCUAUAGCUAGACAAUAGAGUGCCCAAUCUAGCAAGAAUGAAGAUCAAGCAUUGUCGUUCCCGAUACUCUCAACAUUAUGCACAUGUAAGACUUUCCGAAGAAGGCCUCACUCAUCAAACAAUGAAAGCUUAAAAGGAGGGAAAGGUUUUGGGAGUGGUCUACCACUAGAGUUUGUCAAAAUAAGAUUGGCAUAAAGGAUGUGACAACUCAAGUGUGUAUAGCCAUGACUCAGUACACAAGGGACCAUGAGCAAGAAGCAUUAAGUUCGUUCAGUUCAAAUAAGGUUGUAGUUGGCUUCAAAGACUGAGUUUCAGCAAUCAACAAGUUUCAGGAAGAGUUUUCAAGGCUCGAAACAUACAAGUCUUUUUGAGAGGUGCAAAAGCUACUCAGGUGCAACGUAGUGUUCUUUACAAGGCAUUUAAAAUCAUUGCUCCCAAUGCAAGUGAAUGCAACCUAUAUGCUCUAGACUCUCCUAGAAAUGCAAAUGAUGCAAACUAAAUGAUUGUUUUUUUUUUUUUUUUUUUUUUUUUUUUUUUUUAAUAUGCAAAUAGGUGUGCAAUGCAUGACUCAAUGAAACAACAUCAAAGCAAACAUGAUCAAAUACUUGGUACCUCCCCCAAACUUGAGUUACACAGUCUCUGUGUUGUCAAGUAGAGAGAGAUACCGAAAAGAAGACUAAUAUGCAAAAAUGAAAUGGUAUAUACAAGGGAGUAUGGUGGUUUACCUUCUAUAGGGAAUGAGUAGAGGGAGAUGCUCCCUCCUGGUCGUCCUUAGGUGGUAACUCUUCAAGAUGCUCAUCAGCAGGAGUGGCCAUCUCUUCAAUGUAGAAGGCUUGCCCGAACACAGUUGGUUUCCUCAUUUUCUCCUUGAUGUCAAAGUGGAGGAUGUUCUCUUUACCCAAAUGGAGAUCAAUCGUGCCUUCCUUCACAUUAACAAUAGCUCCUGCUGUAGCUAAGAAUGGCCUUCCUAGAAUCAAUGGGUCUUGAGCCUCCUCACCCAUCUCAAGCACCACAAAAUCUGUAGGUAUCUCAUACCUUCCAAUCUUCACAGGGAGGUCCUCUAAGAUGCCCACAGGGUACUUCACUGAACGAUCAGCUAACACCA